ensembl:lncRNA KIF23-AS1 KIF23 and PAQR5 antisense RNA 1
AGCAUAAGAGUUAAAUAAGGUUUCUCUUUUGGUUUAAAAAAAAUAAAAUAAAAAGGCUGGGCAUGGUGGCUCACACCUGUAAUCCCAGCACUUUGGGAGGCCAAGGCAGGAGGAGUGCUUGAACCCAGGAGUUUUGAGACCAGCCUGGGCAACACAGUGAGAUCCCAUCUCUAGAAAAAUAAAAAAUUCAGUGUUUCACCCCCAGGACCUAUCUCAGAAGAAAUAUUCAAUAAAUGUGUCCUAGGAAUGAACCGGCCUGGCCACCUCUACUAUUGAGCAGGAGCAGAGUUAGGAAGAUUGAGCAGGAGCAGAGAGGGAUUCCCACCUCCAGCAGACUCUGUUAGUUAAGGACUGAGAAUGUUCCAAAUCUUGUUAAUGAUCUGUCAUGAACUAUUUUCUAGGAAAUGUCCCCCAGAGGGGUGUUUUUCAGCUCUGUACCCCUAGGCCCAAGAGGAUGGGACAGAGGUGAAUAAAAUGUUAUUAAGAAACCUGAGUGGUAGCAAAAGAAGGCCCAGGGCCAUUUUUCCUGCAACCCCAAAACUUGCUACACAGCCACCUCUACUUCAUUAAGCGGGGCUGGGGAGGUGGACAUGGCAGUCAGGAUGCUGGUGACUCCGAUUCCCUGGCCUCUCCUUUUCCUCCUUUUUGGAAAUCUGUUCUCUAAGCAUUUUACUAGUUACAACCCCUUCUGACACAACAAAAGAAGAAAAGGAGAUAAAACUUUAAUCAGAUCAAACAAACUGCAUCUGGCCACAUCUUUUAGUGAGAGGAGAUGGAAAAUCAGGAACAAAAUGGGCUUGGGGAGAAGCAAGCUUCCUGCCCUGGUGGGGACAAUGACUGGCCCUUUGAUUCCCAUGUACUCACCUAAGGAACUCUCACCCCAAAGUCUUGUCAGCCUCACCAGAAAUGAUGCAAGGGUUCCUCCUCCUAGCCAGUCCCAGAGCCAGAGCGGAGGAGGCACAUUCUGCAGGGACCCGCCCCUCCUUCCCUAGACAGAGCGGGGAAAGAACUCUGCCAGCAGGUGGAAACCCCCGUGACUCUGACACCUUCUCUCCACCAGAUCACUUCAAACUUAAGUGAGCUCAGGUUCAUCUGGAGGAUGACUCGGCCUCUGUUCUCUCGUCCCACCUGACGAGAAAUACCCACAGGUGUGGAGGGGCUGGCCCCCUUCACCUGGGUCUCGACUCCUGUUUUGUUCUGCGGUUCCCAUUGCAGUGCUGUGACCCCCCAGAAGCUCAGGAAAACAACUGACUUCCUGGUGUUGCCAACAGGCAGAGAGGAGAUGCAGCCAGUCCUUACCCUGUAGAAGAUGGGGAGGGAGUCCCAGGUGUACGGAUAAGCAAAGGCGAGGACACGAAUCACCUUACAGAGUCUGGGCUUCUGGAUUUCAAGAAACCUAAAUCAGGGAAGGAAAGUGGGGAGGAAAUGGAAUGAAAAGAGUCUCAGCAAAUUGCAUACGCACAUGCAUGCACACCGAGGGCCUGGUCAUCAACAGAGGACAAGCAUUUUUCUACAAGCUCCUGUGGCCAGCAGCUUCUCCACCAGCCUCGUCCAUUCCUCCCACCCCAAUGGAAGUGACAAAACUUCAGAUGCAAAAAGAUCUCCAGGGACACCAUCUCCUGACCAUGGGAAGCAGUGGUGUCCAGACUAAGCCAGAAAGGAGGCGCUGGGCAGAAACCCUUCAAGGGCCAAGUUAUGUAACUGCCAAAGAACCUUUUAAAACUCUAGUUGCUACAGGGACAGGGAACGGGUAGGGGGAAUCGGGGGAUCCACUGCCACAGACUCUUGGGGGGCACACUCUGCAGAGGCUGAGAUGCACCCAUCUAGUUGGAGCCCAGGUAUUAUCAUGCAGGAGACCUGGGUUCAAGUAGGUGUUUGACCCUUGGAGAGCUUUCUGGAAUAUUUAUAC